rnacentral:rRNA from 1 species
GACGAACGCUGGCGGCGUGCCUAAUACAUGCAAGUCGAGCGGACAUUAGGGAAAGGCUUUCUCCUGAUGUUAGCGGCGGACGGGUGAGUAACACGUGGGUAACCUGCCUGUAAGACUGGGAUAACUCCGGGAAACCGGGGCUAAUACCGGAUGGUUGUUUGAACCGCAUGGUUCAAACAUAAAAGGUGGCUUCGGCUACCACUUACAGAUGGACCCGCGGCGCAUUAGCUAGUUGGUGAGGUAAUGGCUCACCAAGGCAACGAUGCGUAGCCGACCUGAGAGGGUGAUCGGCCACACUGGGAUUGAGACACGGCCCAGACUCCUACGGGAGGCAGCAGUAGGGAAUCUUCCGCAAUGGACGAAAGUCUGACGGAGCAACGCCGCGUGAGUGAUGAAGGUUUUCGGAUCGUAAAGCUCUGUUGUUAGGGAAGAACAAGUACCGUUCGAAUAGGGCGGUACCUUGACGGUACCUAACCAGAAAGCCACGGCUAACUACGUGCCAGCAGCCGCGGUAAUACGUAGGUGGCAAGCGUUGUCCGGAAUUAUUGGGCGUAAAGGGCUCGCAGGCGGUUUCUUAAGUCUGAUGUGAAAGCCCCCGGCUCAACCGGGGAGGGUCAUUGGAAACUGGGGAACUUGAGUGCAGAAGAGGAGAGUGGAAUUCCACGUGUAGCGGUGAAAUGCGUAGAGAUGUGGAGGAACACCAGUGGCGAAGGCGACUCUCUGGUCUGUAACUGACGCUGAGGAGCGAAAGCGUGGGGAGCGAACAGGAUUAGAUACCCUGGUAGUCCACGCCGUAAACGAUGAGUGCUAGUGUUAGGGGGUUUCCGCCCCUUAGUAGCUGCAGCUAACGCAUUAAGCACUCCGCCUGGGGAGUACGGUCGCAAGACUGAAACUCAAAGGAAUUGACGGGGGCCCGCACAAGCGGUGGAGCAUGUGGUUUAAUUCGAAGCAACGCGAAGAACCUUACCAGGUCUUGACAUCCUCUGACAAUCCUAGAGAUAGGACGUCCCCUUCGGGGGCAGAGUGACAGGUGGUGCAUGGUUGUCGUCAGCUCGUGUCGUGAGAUGUUGGGUUAAGUCCCGCAACGAGCGCAACCCUUGAUCUUAGUUGCCAGCAUUCAGUUGGGCACUCUAAGGUGACUGCCGGUGACAAACCGGAGGAAGGUGGGGAUGACGUCAAAUCAUCAUGCCCCUUAUGACCUGGGCUACACACGUGCUACAAUGGACAGAACAAAGGGCAGCGAAACCGCGAGGUUAAGCCAAUCCCACAAAUCUGUUCUCAGUUCGGAUCGCAGUCUGCAACUCGACUGCGUGAAGCUGGAAUCGCUAGUAAUCGCGGAUCAGCAUGCCGCGGUGAAUACGUUCCCGGGCCUUGUACACACCGCCCGUCACACCACGAGAGUUUGUAACACCCGAAGUCGGUGAGGUAACCUUUUAGGAGCCAGCCGCCGAAGGUGGGAAAAAGGAAUUGGGAGUGAA